GAUGAACGCUGGCGGCGUGCCUAAUACAUGCAAGUCGAGCGAACGGACGAGAAGCUUGCUUCUCUGAUGUUAGCGGCGGACGGGUGAGUAAUACGUGGAUAACCUACCUAUAAGACUGCGAUAACUUCGGGAAACCGGAGCUCAUACCGGAUCAUAUUUUGAACCGCAUGGUUCAAAAGUGCUAGACGGUCUUGCUGUCACUUAUAGAUGUAUCCUCGCUGCAUUAGCUAGUUGGUAAGGUAACGGCUUACCAAGGCAACGAUGCGUAGCCGACCUGAGAGGGUGAUCGGCCACACUGGAACUGAGACACGGUCCAGACUCCUACGGGAGGCAGCAGUAGGGAAUCUUCCGCAAUGGGCGAAAGCCUGACGGAGCAACGCCGCGUGAGUGAUGAAGGUCUUCGGAUCGUAAAACUCUGUUAUUAGGGAAGAACAUAUGUGUAAGAAACUGUGCACAUCUUGACGGUACCUAAUCAGAAAGCCACGGCUAACUACGUG
rnacentral:rRNA from 1 species